UCUGUCAGGUAUAUAGUCAGUGAAACCUUCUGAUCUGUCAGGUAUAUAGUCAGUUAAACCUUCUGAUCUGUCAGGUAUAUAGUCAGUUAAACCUUCUGAUCUGUCAGGUAUAUAGUCAGUUAAACCUUCUGAUCUGUCAGUUGUUACUCAGGGGCCUUUUUAGUAUGUUCUUGUGUAUUGUUGCGUUGUUUGUUUGUUAAAAACAGCUUGCAAUGUUUAUUUCAAAUAUUACUUAUCUUUAUUGAUAUAUUAUACUUAUAUUUAGUAUGGGCCGAGUAAAUGUGAAUCAAGACCUGUAAGUGAUGUCUAUCUAUGUGUGACAAAAUAAAAACCCUAUGUAUUGUA